rnacentral:tRNA from 1 species
CCGACCUUAGCUCAGUUGGUAGAGCGGAGGACUGUAGUGGGUGAAUAUGCUCUCAGCCAUCCUUAGGUCGCUGGUUCGAAUCCGGCAGGUCGGA